AGCAGCCGCGGUAAUUCCAGCUCCAAUAGCGUAUAUUAAAGUUGUUGCAGUUAAAAAGCUCGUAGUUGAAUUUCGGGGCCAGUAGGUCGGUCGUGCCACUGGUAUGUACUGACUUCACUGGUCCCUCCUUCUUGUAGAACCAUGAUGCCAUUAAUUUGGUGCUGCGGGGAAACAGGACUGUUACUUUGAAAAAAUUAGAGUGCUUAAAGCAGGCUUACGCUUGAAUACAUUAGCAUGGAAUAACGGAAUAGGACGCUCGAUUCUAUUUUGUUGGUUUCUAGGAUUGACGUAAUGAUUAAUAGGGAUAGUUGGGGGCAUUAGUAUUCAAUUGUCAGAGGUGAAAUUCUUGGAUUUAUUGAAGACUAACUACUGCGAAAGCAUUUGCCAAGGAUGUUUUCAUUAAUCAAGAACGAAAGUUAGGGGAUCGAAGACGAUCAGAUACCGUCGUAGUCUUAACCAUAAACUAUGCCGACUAGGGAUCGGAUGAUGUUAAUUUUAUAAUGA
rnacentral:rRNA from 1 species